AUGGAGGAUUUUGUGGCAUGGAGAUUCACAAAGAACAACCUGUACACAGUCAGAUCGGCGUAUCAUGCUGAGUGGGAUCACCAGUUCGGACGAUGGUUUGCGAGAACUGAAGGUCAACAAUCACAACAAUAUCCAGUAUGGGCGAAACUGUGGGACUCCUCAUUGCCGGGCAAAAUCAAGAUACACGCGUGGAAACUUUUCCAUGGGUUCAUACCAUGUUUCGGAGUCCUGGCAAAUCGACACAUUGCUAUGCCCAGGAACUGUCCAAUGUGUGCAGGAGGAUGUGAGGACAUCAAGCAUGUGCUGUUUACUUGCCCAAGAGCGGCUGAGAUAUGGAGGUGUCUAAAGCUAGAUGGAUUUGUGGAGGAGCCGAGUAAUGUGGACAGAGCUGGCUCAUCGGUUCUGGACUAUAUCUUAUGUGCGCCGAAGAGAGGAAGUCUGCUUCCAGAUGUGAGUGCACAGUCAUUAAUCCUCAUGGGGAUUUGGCAUGCAAGAAAGAAGGAGACGGGGGUAAAAAAGGAAGGAUGGACCAAGCCGAGGGAGGGAUAUGUUAAGCUCAAUGUUGAUGCAGCUUUCCAUGUAGAAACUCUCAAUGAAGCAGUCGGGGCAGUGCUGAGGGAUGAAAAAGGGGGAUUCAUAGCUGCACCCAAUGAAAAACUUGAGCAUGUGGCGGACGCGGCAACAACAGAGGCAUAUGCCUUGAGACAUGGGCUCCUUCUGGCGCAACAGGUGGGAGUGAACAAGCUGGUGGUGGAGGCGGAUUGCUUGGAAGUGAUCAACACGAUGAACUCGGGCGGAUUCACGGCGACAGGAGCGGCGACAAUUUAUGCAGACUGCAAUGUCUUAAUAGUAGGUUAUACUUCGGUGUCUUUCAUCCAUUGCCCUAGGGAGGCAAAUUGUGUCUCUCAUGAGCUAGCUAGGCUGGCGGUCUCAAACCUACCCUCGUUGUGGGUUGAGAAACCACCGGCAUCUAUUGUAAGGUGGCUGGUGGAUGAUGUAACGGUGAUUUAA
rnacentral:rRNA from 1 species